rnacentral:rRNA from 1 species
UUUUUCUUCGCUUUCCCGUUUUGCCCUCCCGCUCGCUCUCUCCCCGACCGCUCGCAGCUCUCACUCUCUCCCUGACCACUCGCUCUCUCUCUCCCCGACAGCUCGCUCUCUCCGACCCCGACCGCUCGCCCUCUCGUCGGCCAGUCGCCACCCUCUCCCUCUCGUCGGCGUCUUCCUCACCGCAGUCUUGCACCUCACCACCCAUAACCCUAGCAACCCGCCUCCCUCUCGUCGGUGAAAGGUGACAUUUUUACCAGCUGAGGUGCCCGAUUCGUGACGGCGGUGCUCGAUUCGGGGGCGGCGGUGCUCGAUCCGUGGGCGGCGGUACUCGAUCCAUGCUGGAGCAGCGGGAGGAGGAGGCCAAGGUGGAGAUCGUGGUGCGGGAGGGGGAGCUCGGCGAGACGGCGUCUGGAUCUGAAGCGCGGCUGCUCCACCUUCCUCAGGUUGGCGGGGACCUCCGGAUCGCUGCAGAGGGGAAGGGCCCGACCUCCGGCGGCCUCUGCGGGCAGAAGGGGAACUGCGUCGGCGACGUCGUCGGCGUCGGCGUCCCAGGGACAGGGCACGGCGGCACGCACUGCGGGCCCAUGCACAUGCACACCGUGCCGUUGCCGCCGUCCGCCAGCGCGCCGCUGGCCGACAGGAGCAGCCACAGCCACACGGCCACGACGAGCAGGACCGCCGGCGACGGGUUCGUGCAGUCCCGCGAGGACCGCGCCGUGUGGGAUGCCGAGACGACGUUGCCGGAGAAGGAAUCUCCGACUACCUCACGCCCGCCGCUGGCCUGCACAUCACUGAGUAAAUUUCUGUAAAUUUCAGAGAUGAUGCUGGGUGCUUCUGUUUGUUUGUGUUGAUAUGAUGUGUCCUCUUGUCUGUCCCGAUGCUGGAAUGAAAUGGCAAUGGAAAGUUCAGUUAUCAUCCGAUGCCUCUGUUUGCUGCUUGAUUGCUUUGUGAUUUUUCAGUGGUCUAGUUGUAAAAUGAAGCACGGUUAUGCAGUUGUAAAAUGGAGUUCAGUUAUCAUCUGGAUUUUUUGGUUUUGCUUGUGUGCCCUGUUAUUUUUGUUUGCUGGCUCUGUGGUUCAGUGUUUCUGCACCUUUUCCCCCGUGUCUGUACAGUGAUUUGAUGAACGCAUAUGGGCUUUUGGCUCUGCUCGAAGUGAUUCUGAAUUUUGUUUGGGUAAGCUAGCUAGCUGAAGGUGAAUAAGCGACAUAUUUUGAAUUCUGUUCUCUGUACAUUUUGUCGUUAUUGCAUUCAGUUUUAGGAUAAUCAUCACACCACUGACUCAGUAUCUACCUAACCUUUGGUGCUUGCAGUACAAUUGAUAUGCCAAUUGUGUUGUGUUAUCUUCCAUAUGCAAAUGAAGACACCAUACUGUCAGGUUUCUUUCAAGCUCAGGUGGUGUGGUAUCUGCUCGUGUGAAGACAUCUGUGUGCGGCUGCAGAGAGUGGUAUUCUAGCAGAUUCUCUUGAUUGGAGUGGAGAGGAGCAGCAGAAGUGGACAGCGCAGCGGCUGACCUCGAGCUCUUGAUUGGAGUGGGGGGAGGCGGCCGGCGAAGGAUCUGUGACCAGCAGCGAAGGAUCCGAAGCUGUGGUGGAGCAGGCAGCCGGAGGGAAGGGCACCGGCGAGGGAGCUGCGGACCGCAGCGGGGAAGGGCGGCCGAUGAGGGAGCUGCGGACCACGGCGGGGAAGGGCGGCCGGCCGGCGAGGGAGCUGCGGACCGCGGCGGGGAAGGACGCCGGAGAUGUGGACGACGGAGGAGCCCGACGAAAGGGAGCAGCGACGGCGGAGAAGCCUGGCGGAGGGGAGGAGUGACGGAGGAAGACGCCUCCCGAUCGAUUUCAAAUCUGG